AUUCUACUCCCUCCGUUGCACAAUACAUGCCUUCUAUUUGUCAAAAUAUAUAUGUAUCUAGACAUGUUUUAGUAUAUAGGUACAUCCAUUUUUGGACAAAUGGAAGUCAAGUAUUUUGGAACGGAGGGAGUACAAU
rfam:Triticum aestivum genome assembly, contig: Triticum_aestivum_CS42_TGACv1_scaffold_221635_3B